rnacentral:rRNA from 1 species
UACGGGGGGAGCAAGCGUUGUUCGGAUUUACUGGGCGUAAAGGGCGCGUAGGCGGUCAGUGCAAGUCAGUUGUGAAAUCUCCGGGCUUAACUCGGAAAGGUCAACUGAUACUGCUCGACUAGAGUGCGGAAGGGGCAACUGGAAUUCUUGGUGUAGCGGUGAAAUGCGCAGAUAUCGGGAGGAACACCGGUGGCGAAGGCGGCUCUCUGGGACGGUACUGACGCUGAGACGCGAAAGCGUGGGGAGCGAACAGG